GCGAACGCUGACGGCAGGCCUAACACAUGCAAGUCGAACGAACCUUUCGGGGUUAGUGGCGGACGGGUGAGUAACACGUGGGAACGUGCCUUUAGGUUCGGAAUAACUCAGGGAAACUUGUGCUAAUACCGAAUGUGCCCUUCGGGGGAAAGAUUAAUCGCCUUUAGAGCGGCCCGCGUCUGAUUAGCUAGUUGGUUGAGGUAAUGGCUCACCAAGGCGACGAUCAGUAGCUGGUCUGAGAGGAUGAUCAGCCACAUUGGGACUGAGACACGGCCCAAACUCCUACGGGAGGCAGCAGUGGGGAAUCUUGCGCAAUGGGCGAAAGCCUGACGCAGCCAUGCCGCGUGAAUGAUGAAGGUCUUAGGAUUGUAAAAUUCUUUCACCGGGGACGAUAAUGACGGUACCCGGAGAAGAAGCCCCGGCUAACUUCGUG
rnacentral:rRNA from 1 species